UACGUAGGAUGCGAGCGUUGUCCGGAAUUACUGGGCGUAAAGAGCGCGUAGGCGGUUUCUCGCGUGGGUUGUGAAAGCCCCUGGCUCACCUAGGGGAGUGCAGUCCAAACGGGGGAACUAGAGGGCGGUAGGGGCUGGCGGAAUGCCUGGAGUAGCGGUGAAAUGCGUUGAGAUCAGGCAGAACACCAGUGGCGAAGGCGGCCGGCUGGGCCGCACCUGACGCUGAGGCGCGAAAGCUAGGGGAGCGAACGGAAUUAGAUACUCCGGUAGUCCUAGCCCUAAACGAUGACCACUAGGUGUCGGGGGUAUCGACCCCUCCGGUGCCGGAGCACACGCGAUAAGUGGUCCGCCUGGGGAGUACGGCCGCAAGGCUAAA
rnacentral:rRNA from 1 species